GGAGUAUUAAGAAAAAAUGAAAGCUUCUAACUUUUUAUUUAAGCGGUUAAAUUCCGUUUAUACUCCU
rnacentral:tRNA from 3 species